AGAGGUUAUCAUUCUUUGAUAUACCACUGUGGUGUAAUGUGUGUCGAAUUGGCGGCGAAGCUUGGUGUGUGUGCCUUGUGCAUGCGCAUCUGCGCGCCGCCAGCAUCAAACCCUAUUUUUAACUACUAGUUGUCUGAUUACUCUCUGUAAAGAAACAAUCUUAUA
rnacentral:misc_RNA from 1 species